GUGCAUGUGUCCUUAUAAUAGAUGGAUUUAUAAUCCUUUGGAUAUAGAUCACCAGAGUUGAUUUGGCUGAUCUGGCUGGCUAGGUGGGUGUCCUCUUCCUCCCUCACCGCCCCAUGUGCAUCCCUCCUGAAGCUGUGUGCUUGGUGGAAGAGGACGACCAUCCCCGACAGAGGAGGACCGGUCUUCGGUCAAGGGUAUACGAGUAGCUACACUCCCCUGCUGGAACCUCCAAACAAGCUCUGAGGUCCUUUCUACCUCUGACACCAUAUGAGGCUCUAACAUUGUAUUAAAAUAAUUAGUUGGGAGGGCAUUAGAGUGAGGUGGCUCCAGCACU
rnacentral:snRNA from 1 species